GUGGAGAGAGCUAGCGCUGCUAUCUUUGCUCAAGACAAAAGGGAAAGUAAUGGCUUAGCUAUUAUCAAAGACAAGUAAGCCCAGCUCAAAUCAGCCCUUUUUAUUAUUUGAUUUGAUUCACGUAGUAAAAAACGACAAAUUAGCUUCCAAAAAAGGGGGGCUAUUGUGACAGGGGUGGGCAAUCCAGGCGUUAGCAGCAGGCAAGAGACACCUGCUCCAGCUGACCAGCUAGCAUCCAAGAAGGGGGGGUGGCUAGCGCCCGGAGCUAGCACCUGACUCACAAGUUGCAUUUUGUCCAAAUUAUAGCAUUAAAACACAUUUCUGACACAUGAGCCAAGGAUGUAAGCCGGCGGUCGAAUACGACUACACUGUCCACUUACGCGUCUCCCAUUCGCUGUGGGAAAGCAAAACAACCCAGGCGGUGUUAGCUUGGAGGCUAACACGUUACAAAGAAACACCCUCGCUAGCCAAACUGCUACCCGAGCCUCCGCCUUCACACGCCGGACAAAAACACUCACAAGCACCACGUUCAGGAGGUGUCCAUCACAUUGAGGAAGUCUCCUCCUGAUGCUUAGACGUCAAACCCUGCAGGUCCAGAUGCACAUUGAGAGUCUGUGCUGCUCACAGUGUCCAAGUGGGUGCGCUGGUGUUUGGCUCUGUCACUGGAGUUGCUGAAGGCCUUGAAGCAUCCUGGGUGCUGGCACAGGUACGGCUUCUCCCCCGUAUGGCUGCGCAGGUGGAUCUUGAGAUUUUCCAGGCGAGAGAAGGCCUUUUUGCAGCCCUUGAACUGCAAAAAAAAAACGAUGCUUGUCGGAGAGACUCACAAGGGACAACGGUUGUGAGUCCGGGCCCUGUGAGUUAUUGACCCUGUGCCAGAGGGGAAGGUAGAGGUCGCGCUGCCAAUGACAAAGAGGACGCCCGUGAGCCUUGGUGGACGGAGGGCGGAUGCUGCGGGGCACGAAGCGAUCGAAGGAGGCAGCAAUCAUUAAAAGCUGGUCCGACUGUCUGUCUCCUUGUCUAAUUGAUCUAUAGCCUGACGAGGAGAGACGGACCACUGAGUGCCCGGCUGCAUUAUGGGAUGUCUGGCUUACUGUUUGUCAGUUACAUCAAGGAGCAACACAGGAUUGCACUUCAACAUGUUCGAAAAGGAGUAGGAAGAAGCAGAGUUGAUUUAGUCCUUCUCCAACCGGGGCGGAUGCUAAACGAGGUUCCACCAUAAAUGCUGGACCUGUUCAUCACCCCCUGCCCCCCCUCCAGGUCCGGGUUGUGUCAAGUGUCAAGUUUCCUUUGAGACGGCAACAUCCAUCUAGCAGCAUCUCCUCAAGACAUGUCUCCUGACAGACGUGUUCAUGUAACGGUGAUGGGAGAGCGAGGUGGGGGUGUUAGCUAUCUGGGUGGCUUCUCACACCCCCCACCUCCCACCUCUCAUGGUUUCUGUUAUAUUCAGGGGGUUUUUUCACACCACCAUAUUGCUUUAGGGCCCCCACAGGUCAGCAGUAUACCGUAGGUGUUGUUUUCUUCUCAGUCCAGUAUAGACAAAGACAGUAUAGCUUCUCAAGGGACAAUACUAGCAUAUCCAAAUUUGAUUUCUAUAGUACUGUCCCGUUUUGAGAAGAUAUACAGUACUGCAAUUAAAAAUUCUGAAACGUGAGGGCAGCACUCACAGAGGAAAUCUUGUUUUACAUUCAAAUCCAAUAUAAUCAAGGUACCAGAGGCCACCGUUUUUUUUUUUUUUACUUGGCUCGGUGGGUUUCAAUUUUGAAGUACUUUUCACUGCUAAUCAACACGUAGCUUUGAUUAAGACAUUGGACCCCAAAUAAACACAUUUGGUGCAUCCUCAAGUCACAUCAUUCUAAGAAAAGAUCGUGAAUUAUGAUAAUAUUUCCAUGAUAAAAGAAAUGAGGUUGUUGAGAGUAAUGUAGAGCCUUUGGUUAAAUUAAUUAAAAAUAGAGCACAUUUUUAAAUGUACAAUAAAUUCCAUCAUAUUACACUAGGUCCCCAACUUACGAACACCCGACUAGCGAACAUUCGCGGACACGAACACAAGCCGACUGGUCUAUACUUUAUUUUAUUUUGCCUUGUAGUCGCUCAAUCAGUAUUUAUACUGCUACAGUACAUGCUUGACCAGUAGAGGGCACUGUGACACUGCUAAUGGGACCAACAGAGGAAGAGUUAGACGCUUGGGAGAUAAAGCUAAAUGGAAAGCUAAAUUAUACAACCAGGACAGAGCGUGUGAUUAAUGUUUAUGAAGAGUUAAUAGGCCUGCUUAAUUCUACACCACCCACAGAACACUACCUCUUUUAGAAGAGUCUAACGAUGACGACGAUUUGUCCUUUUUUUCAAUAACUCCUCCUCCAACUCCACCACAACGACGUAUGCUCGACCACUCCUCUUCAAAGGUAAAUAACAUUUAUCAUUACGUAUUAUUAUAUCACUUUUAUUAUUGUUUUUUUCAUUAAUUAUCCUCGUUUAAUAUUACUACUGCAUCCAAACUCAUAUUUACAUACAUACACAUAUACUGUAUAUGUAUACACGUACAUGUAGUACCUAUAUCAUUGGUAAUAUUACCUUUUCCCCUACUUAAGAACAAUUCGACAUAAGAACCGUCGUCUGGAACCAAUUGUGUUCGUAAGUUGGGGACCUAGUGUACAUGAAUAAUUGCUAUGGAAAAUGUUAAAUACAACAAAAUUAAAGAAAAAUAAUAGAGUCAAAUAUUUGACAAAAAAAUAUGUUUUUAAAACAUCAAUGAAAAAUAAGUGGGACAAAACCCGUUUUAUGUAAAAAAAAAAUUGUUGCUGCUGACUGAAAUGUUUAAAUAUUUUAAAAGAUUGCUGAAAAAAUGUAAAUGGUCCACAUAUGUGAUAAAAAAAAUUAAACUAAAAAUUGGCGCAGUCGCUGUUUUUGUUGGAAAGUUGGGACCCAACAUGGAAGGAAAAGGACAAGCAGACUUGGCUGCAACAUAGUCAAACACUUCAAAACCAUCACUAUCAUUUGUGUAAAAUGUUACAUUUAUAUGGCAAAUAAAGCUUUUUUUCAAAACAGCACCCUCUGCUGGAUUUGCUGUGGCACUCAUGCCCCACAAUAACCUAAUGCAAAAUGAACAUUAUUAUACUUGAGAUCCUGUAACUUGU